GUGUUAAUUACAACAAGUAAUGAAAGUUCAUUUUCCCAGCCUGUUCAGUGCUUACCUGUGAGUGACCCAAGGAAUCUGAAAGAGAAGAAACUUCAAUGCAGUCUCCACCAGACAAAGUGAACAGAGUAAAACCUCUGUUGCCUCCGUGGGCAGCCACUGGAGACUCCCAGCUUCUCCAAAAAAUUGGAUUCUUGACUGCAAUUUUUGGCCAAUAUUAUAUUUGCAAUGGUCUCGGGACAUAUUGCUUCUAAAUGUCAAGUGUCUGCUACAUCAGCUCACAGGAGAGGUGAGACCUUUUAACAAAUCG
rnacentral:lncRNA from 1 species